AGAAGUUAGAGCUGGACACUUGGAUAAAGAUCAAGGUAAUCAGCUGGAGUCAACAUGGUUUUUUGGAAGCAAAAUCAUGUCUGACCAAUCUGUUGGAUGUCUUCGAAGAGAUGUUCCAGGAAUGAAUGCAGGGUCAGGGAGAUGGUGAACUACGCCAGUGAACUGCAAAGGAUCAAGCCCUGCAUGACAACAGUGUGAUCUUCCAGCUUAGAGGUGAUUCCAGAAUGUCUCCGAACCUCAAAACCUGGAGGUAAAGUCUGGCGCAAUCUGGAGUCAAAGCCUGGCCUAGAGAAGAGGCUAGGUGCUGGUAUGGACUGGGUUGAAAGGACUGUUACUCUCAAUUUUUAUUCUUUAUUUUCCCAAUUGAUUCCUAUUAUGUGUAACUUGUUAUUUUUAUUUUCCUAAUUUUUUUCCCCUAAGAAUUUGUACUUGAGAUGGCACAG